rnacentral:lncRNA from 1 species
AAACAAGAGUUCCGCAACUGAGCAGCACAAGAGACAUGACUGUAAUGAGAACUUGGUAAGCCUGCCCAGGGAUUGCGGAGGAUCAAGGAGUGUGUCGGACCCCAGCGGAGCCAAGCAGCCAGGACAGUCCGAUGGAUUCUCUCCCCUUCACUCGCAUAUGUUUCCUGCUUCUGACCAUUUCAUCUGCCAUUCUAGCUACCACGGUGCCCAGUGGUGACCCUGCUGACUGGACAAAAGACUCUUCCUUGAGCAGCACAAAAGUGACAGCCUAUGACUGCACGCACUGUGGUAUCAGUGUAUGCGAGUUAUCCAAUUUCAGUUGCUGUGUUGUAAUUGGUGAAACACAAAACAAGAUGUUUUCAAAUGAAGUAAUUCAGCUGGUGACCAGUGAAACACAUAUCACUAUGUGCUUUCAGCAAGCAGAUACUUUUCCAGAAGGAAUUUAUGCCAUCAUCUGGGUGAAAGACGAGGGAAUAGGAGAUUCAUGCGGCAYCCUGAAGGCUGAAGCUUCCCCAGAGAAUAGGGAGGAUAUCAUCGUUACAGAGUGGAAGRAG